AUGGACAAGAGCAUUUGGAGGUCCAUUGUGGACCAAGUAAAGCCGCUGAUACCCUCGAUUGAUGCAACUUCUUCGUCUGAGGAUGAAGCCAAUAUUGAAAUAUUUCAAAGACCACCCGGACUUUCUCUCAAACUUCCCGAUGAUGGGAGCAUAGCAGAAAACACUGAUAUGGCGGGUCCUUUGAAAUUUACUGAGCCUGAAAAGAGUUUAAACCAUUGUUUAAACAAAAAGAAACUUGCCACCUCAGAUGAAAGGAGCCCAAAAUCCAGCCACGGCAAUGGUAUUGUCCUCUCCUUCGCCAGACUUGACCAUUUGGAUUUAGAUGCCCUUCAAUACACCAUACAGGAUGAGCAAAUCAAGCCACAAUAUGUGCUGCCUGAAAUAAGAGAUAUUACAUAUGGAGAUGAAGACAAAGAAGAUUACUACAAAAGUAUUUUGGAAAAAAUAACAGAUUUCUGUGAGAACUGCCACAAACGUUCCGAAAAUGUUAAGGAAAGCUACGUGGGAAACGCACCGGAGAAAAAUAAGCUGGAAGAGAACCAUACUUCUCCAACUGUAUUUAUUGAUUUGAGAUGUCAAAAUCAAACCCCAAUAAUGUCCCUGGCUCUUAGCUCUUUUCAUAAAGAAGCAAAACAAGUUAACGGACCCUAUCAGAUCAAUACUGGAAGUCAGACAAACUGCUGGAAAGAAACUGGCAAAAGCAUGUUACUUCGUAAAAUAAGAGAGAACAAUGAAAUAAAUCAAUGUAAAAAAGCAGUCAGAGUGGUGAUGAAUAAAUGUAACUUGGAAAACCAACCAAAGGGUAGACAUCUCUCAUGUGUCGAGUCUGAGCACAUCAAACCUAAAACAGGAUGUCAGAAAAGUAAUCAAGACAUCGUGUCUGAGAAACCAAGAGAUCAUUUUAAGCAUUAUCAAGCCAUUGUAAAAGAACUGGAGAAAUGUCGACCAACAAAAUCUGUUGGACAGAAGCAGCCAGCUGCUGAAAAGACUGAUCUUCUUUAUGAUACAGAAGCCUCUUCUCUUGAACCAGUUCGAACAUUGCCCGCAGAUAUUGGGAAUGCUGCACACAUGCUACUGAUAGUCAAUCUCUCAAGUCCUGGGAUGGUUACUGAGAAAGGACAAAGAAAAAGACAAAAACUAGAUUCAGCCUUAACUAAGUCACACAUUUAUAACACAUUAGUGGCUUGGUUUCUUUCUUUGGUUGGCUCUAAUCCAAACAGCAUUAAUGAAGCUAAUGCUACAGUACCAUUCUGGGUCGCUGGACUUCAACAGCUUUGGUCAGAGAAUGGUCUGGCUUUGCACGUCUUUGUUGUUGCCAAACACACCUAUACACAGAGGAAAAAGGACUCAGACAUCUAUGCCCCUUUCUACAAUCACAUUAAUCAAUUUCUGUCUGAGACUUCACUUUCCACCAUUGCUUAUUGGCUUCCUCAGUUUAAUGUCUUCAUGGGCAAAAACAUCAACAACCCACCCAUUUGUCUUCCAUCUUACUUUUUAAGCUCAUUCAUUACUGCUGCAUCUAACAAAAAAGCGAUAAGCCGGAUAUUUAGUCUCAGCCCAGGGUUUUACUGGCACACUUUGGAAACUUCAGGCCAUGAAUGUAAAGGAAGAGAGACCACACAAGAACUGCAUACUGAGGUAUCCAUCGCUUUGGGAUGUAAAAACUUCUUUCAACUGCCGCUGGUCAUGCACUACACAGUUCAGACCCUACUAGAUUCAGGAUUAGAUAUUUCUGGCUUAAGGCUUCUUUAUCCAUCACCUGACCAUUUGGCUCACAGCAUUGGAUGUAAGUCCAUCCUUGAUAAAGGGGGCGACACUCAAUGCAUUCUUGCUGUUGCAGUCCGUGGGCCCUAUGCACACUUGUUAUUGCAGGGAAUAAAGAGAUCAGUAGAGGGCAUGCUUAGACAGAAGGCCAUUGCUGCUGAAAAUGGUGAAGAUAUUUUGCCGUUGUGCACACCUCAACAACAUAAUCAUGUGCACAAAGAGCUAUGUCUGUGGUUUUCUGGAAGACUGGUCAAAGACAGUGGAAAGUACCAAGGUCCUUCCUUUAAAAGUGAAGUUCUGGUGCCUUCAGAUUAUACAUUUUCCCUGUGUGCUAUGACUAAAGCUGAUAUGUUCCUGGUGGUGUCACCCCUCAUUCCUCCAUCUUGCUAUGCCAAAGUGCUGUCCACAUGUGAGCACCGAGGUUUUAUUCUCAGAGGCCUACGGAGAAUAGAAAUCCACAAUGACAGAGCGUCACUGCUAGGAUUCACCAGUCAACAAGCCCAGACCUUCUGCACAUCAGCUUCCCAAAACUGCUACUGUCUGGUGUUGAUACUUAAGAAGGAAAAUGCCCAACUCCACAGCAUUACUCUCCCAGGAGCACUUAUGAAAGAAUUCAAGACACACAACCUUCUUGCCACACGUGAUGUUGUUCAAACAGUAGACCCAAGUUUGUGUUUCCACACAGCCUCCUAUAGCAACAAUCUGUACCAUACUUUUGCCAGGUUGGCUUGGGCAUUCCCAGAUUCUUCCACUGUGGUCCUGUCCAAUCUAAAGUGUCCCCUGGACAUGGAGAUGGACGAAUUGGUAGUUUUGACUUUGUGUGGACAGGACAUGAGCCAAGGUCUAGACCUCCUACACAGAGCUAUCACACAACAUGGGUUUACGCUGCUUGGUCUCAAGUGGCUGCCUGUGUUGACUCGACUACAGGCCCAGGAAGUCAGCCCUUAUGAAGUUGGAGAGAAGUGUAGCCACAGUGCCCUGGUCACUCUGAUGUCAGCCCCUGCUCUAGUGUGCCCUCUGAGGCAGAACGAUGCUUUGACCACUUUGAGGAAACUUGUACCGAACUAUCCCACUAAGGUGGGUGUUUGGAUGUCACCCACACCACAGAUGGCAACCAGACAAAUGGCCCUUUUCUUUUUUGAGCAGGAGCUCUUUGCUUAUGCAGAGGAAAAAGACAAGAAAUCUCAGGGAAAUUCUGAGGGCUAGUUUUUCGCCCUACAACACUGUCAGCUAUGAUUAUAUUAUAUUUCUGGUAUUUGUAGUUCUUGUGUUUUUGUAGUUUCCCCCCCCCUGCUAUGUCGCUCUUCACACACCUGUGUUGUGUGGCAUACUGAUUGGGGCGUGGCUGCUUUGAACAUUUAUGGACCACUCCCAGAUCUGUUCAUUUUAUAUUAAGCCCUGACGAAGACCUGGUGGUCGAAACAUGUUGGCUUGGCCAUCCUAAUAAAGGCCUUUUUAAGUACUUCCUCGUGCUGUGCAUAUUUGUUUUAGAGUGCCUGGGUUUGCUGUUUUUUUUAAAACUUGGAUCCCUUUCCCAAGGGCACCUACACAAACAUUUUUGGAAUAUACUGGGACACCUUGAGCAAGCAGUCAUCUUGUUGUUUCUACAAACAGUCAGCUAUUGUUGAACAGUGAAAAAUAAAAAAUAAAAUAAUUUUAACUGAGUUUGAAUCUUUAAAAUAUGAGCUGAACUAUGCACUAGAUAUACAGGUAUUAGUGUUUUCAUAUUCAUUUAUAAAUGUAAACAGGUUAACAGAUUUGCACACUGUCUUUGUUCAGGCAUUAAAACUUUGCACUAGUCUUAAGCAGAUAUUAUGCAGACAUGCUACUAACAAGUAAAAUGUUUUGAGAAAUGGUUUCAUAAUCAACGCAGAUGUUUUGUGCUGAAGGUCAUUAUUGU
rnacentral:lncRNA from 1 species